UUUUAUUUAUCUUAUCUGAAUAUCUGCUGUCACGCAUAACAUUCAUUAUUUGACCGUAUUUCAAAGAUAAACAAAAUCCAGUUACAACUCCGAACCGCUAGAUGGCAGCAGUACACAAACACGGGGCCAAAUCUCACGAGAAAGAUUUCCGCUGUUUGAAAAGCAACAACAUCAGCGAGCAGCCACGAGGAAAGCAUGUACCACACUUGUUUGGUCUUGUGUCAAAGCUCUGCGAAACUGGAGGGAGAAACUUGAGAGACCGUGCCGGAAGAAUGCUGGACAGAGUUCACUAAAAUUCAUUAAUUUCAAAGUUCAACAUUAAUGGUGGUGGUCCACUGCAGAAGCAAGCAUUUGAAAAAACAUCACUUCUCAGUUAUUAAAGAUGCUGUGUUGAACAACUUCCCAGCAGCAACAGAACUGGAAGUGAAGGAUGCAAUGGGGGCAUUUCAAACAGGCACCAGGGAGCACGGGGGGGGGGGGGGG